AUAAAUUUGUUUUUGAUGCAUCUUACAUAAACCUAUGCAACUUGAAGGGGAUUUUCAUAACUAGAGCUUUGAUAUUAUUUGAUAACAUGCUUCCGUUGCUUUCGUAUAUAAAUCUUGAAUUGUAUAUGCAUGCUAGUCACUAGAAAUCCCACAUGAAUCUCAUAGAAUUCCCUUUCAAGUGGUAUCAGAGCCAAAGGUUUAUGUAUGAUGUGUCCUUUUGGAUUUUAUGCAUAUGGGUUUUAAUAUGAUGUAUGACAUAUUAUUUCUUCAUUCAAAGUAUGUUUAUCUUUUGUUUUUCAAAUGUUGAAAAAUGUGAAUCAAGAGUUGAAAAAGAUACGCAUGCAAAAAGGUGUUUUGGAUGCAUGAAUGAAGAUUGAGUUUUGAACAAAAUUUGGGGUUUUGUUCCAUAGGGGAGGGCACGGUUUUGGGGGUGGUUUUGGCUUGUGUUUGUGUUUUAUUGUAAACCACUCACACAUCCUUUUUAAAGCUAGAAAGAAGAGAUCUUGUCACUUUUGGUUUUGGGUUUGAAAAAUCACCAAGAAUGUACAAAUCUUGAAAUAGUGUUCAUGGUUUUGUUCUUGGUGUUCAUGGUUUUGUUCUUGGUGUUCAUGGUUUUGGUUUUGGUGAAAAUGGUUUUGUUUUGUGUUGGUGAAAAUGGUUUUGUUUUGUGUUCUUACUUCAUUAUUUGGUUUUAGAUGGUAUACUUACCAUCCAUAGCCUUCCCAAAUAUUUAAUAAAUCCUAGACUUGACUAGGUGAAUUUUCAUCACUUUUUCUUAAAGUCCUUAAAGCCUAAGUCAAGUGACAAGUAAAAUUUGGAUUUUUUCUACAUUAUGUUGAUUUAAUGCUUUGUGUAAGAAACCUCUCAUCCCCAUUAUGUGGCCGGCCUCCCUAGUGGAUUUAUCCACUUGUGGGGCUAUUUUGUAUUUUUGAAAAGUUGAUAUUUACUUUCAAGUAUUUACGGUUUGACCCCUAACUUUUUGUAUUUGCAUUUAGGCCCCUACUAACUAGAAAGUUUAAAUAUUUGAUUUUAAUUUUGUUAGUUGUUUAAACUCAUAUUAAUAUUAUGCCCAUAUGCACUAAAUCUAAAUGUUUAUGUUGCAUUCCAUAUGAUUAUUUAAUGUGAUUAAGUAGUUAGAAAAAUGGGUGACUAUGGACUUAUGCCUUAAACGAUAAUUGAGCUAUGAGAUAAGGCGCUAAACUCAAAUUGUUUGAACUUUGGGAAUGUGUUUUAAUUACUGUUUCAUUUGGACCUUGUCACGUUGGACAUUAAUCUAUCUCUCCCUCUUAGUAUAUGUAAUUUGUAGGAAUUUGAACAAAUCGUUUUGUAAUUCUUAUUACUUCUUAAUCUCUUUUAGUUAGUUGAUUCCCUCUAGUGCUAGACUAGAGUUUCUUUAACUAUUGGUAAGGAGACAUAACUAAAAGAGGGUUUUUGACAUGAGAUUAAAGAUUAAAUGGGUCCAACGCCCUAAUUAGCAAUGAAUGAUCGUCUUUCAUUUCUAAUGGCUCAAUGAAAAUGUUUUAAUUGGAUUGAAAAGCACGUAAUUAAAUUGACACAACCUCCCCGAGUUCUUAUUCAACAAUGUUGGCUCAUUGUUGCAAUAACCUAAUAAGUCCAUGGUCAUCCAAGAGCCUAAGAUAAAUAUAAAGUCCAAAUUCAAAGGAAUGCAAAAACCGUAGUAGUAGUAGUUACUUCCAAUAUUUGAAAAGUUCAUUUUUUGAUAUUGAUUUGUUUUUCUUAA
rnacentral:lncRNA from 1 species